AGUAAUACAUAAGUAACCUGCCCUAGACAGGGGGAUAACUGCUGGAAACGGCAGCUAAGACCGCAUAGGUAUGGACACUGCAUGGUGACCAUAUUAAAAGUGCCAAGGCACUGGUAGAGGAUGGACUUAUGGCGCAUUAGCUGGUUGGCGGGGUAACGGCCCACCAAGGCGACGAUGCGUAGCCGACCUGAGAGGGUGACCGGCCACACUGGGACUGAGACACGGUCCAGACUCCUACGGGAGGCAGCAUG
rnacentral:rRNA from 1 species